UUAAUUGAAGAGUUUGAUCAUGGCUCAGAUUGAACGCUGGCGGCAGGCCUAACACAUGCAAGUCGAGCGGCAGCACAGAGGAACUUGUUCCUUGGGUGGCGAGCGGCGGACGGGUGAGUAAUGCCUGGGAAAUUGCCCGGUAGAGGGGGAUAACCAUUGGAAACGAUGGCUAAUAC
rnacentral:rRNA from 1 species